rnacentral:rRNA from 1 species
GACGAACGCUGGCGGCGUGCUUAACACAUGCAAGUCGAACGGAAAGGCCCUGCUUUUGUGGGGUGCUCGAGUGGCGAACGGGUGAGUAACACGUGAGUAACCUGCCCUUGACUUUGGGAUAACUUCAGGAAACUGGGGCUAAUACCGGAUAGGAGCUCCUGCUGCAUGGUGGGGGUUGGAAAGUUUCGGCGGUUGGGGAUGGACUCGCGGCUUAUCAGCUUGUUGGUGGGGUAGUGGCUUACCAAGGCUUUGACGGGUAGCCGGCCUGAGAGGGUGACCGGCCACAUUGGGACUGAGAUACGGCCCAGACUCCUACGGGAGGCAGCAGUGGGGAAUAUUGCACAAUGGGCGGGAGCCUGAUGCAGCAACGCCGCGUGCGGGAUGACGGCCUUCGGGUUGUAAACCGCUUUCGCCUGUGACGAAGCGUGAGUGACGGUAAUGGGUAAAGAAGCACCGGCCAACUACGUG